rnacentral:lncRNA from 1 species
GCCCGCGGGUUACCCAACCCACCCGUUUGCCAGGUCUAAGUAUACUAUAUUAUUCGUAAUUUAGUAUAAAAAAUUAUGCAAUAUUAUAUAAAUUGUGCAAACAUUGCAUUGUUUACACAAAUAUUAUACUAUUUGGAAGAAAUAUUGCACAAUUUGAAACGAUGUUGCACCAUUUAAGGUGUAUUCCAUUCUUUCUUUUUUACUUUUAUUAUUUGAUGUUUUUUAUUUCUAUGUUAAUAAGAAUUUCAUUUUUCAAGAAAAAGAUAACUGUAACAAUAAUUUGUUAGUUGUAUUUUUCAAGACAAUUAAUGCAUGUAUUUUUUAUUCAUUUUGAAAGAGGGGUACUUUGGUCAUCUUUUUGAAAAAGUAGACUGAAUCUACAAAAACAAAAAAUGUUGUCUGAUUUUGUAAAAGCCCAAAACUAAAGAAUUUUUUAUGCAAAUUGGCCAAAAAUUUAUAUAGAUUUUCUGAAC